rnacentral:tRNA from 1 species
UAGGCAGAAGCCUGGUGGUUUGGGCAUGCAGCUGUUAACUGUAGAGUCAUGGGAUCGAGGCCCAUCUGUCUAG